rnacentral:rRNA from 1 species
UGGGGAAUUGUUCGCAAUGGGCGCAAGCCUGACGACGCAACGCCGCGUGGAGGAUGAAGACCUUCGGGUCGUAAACUCCUUUCGAUCGAGACGAAUGGCCUCCGGGUGAACAAUCCGGAGGAGUGACGGUACCGAGAGAAGAAGCCCCGGCUAACUCCGUGCCAGCAGCCGCGGUAAUACGGGGGGGGCAAGCGUUGUUCGGAAUUACUGGGCGUAAAGGGCUCGUAGGCGGCCAACUAAGUCAGACGUGAAAUCCCUCGGCUUAACCGGGGAACUGCAUCUGAUACUGGAUGGCUUGAGUUCGGGAGAGGGAUGCGGAAUUCCAGGUGUAGCGGUGAAAUGCGUAGAUAUCUGGAGGAACACCGGUGGCGAAGGCGGCAUCCUGGACCGACACUGACGCUGAGGAGCGAAAGCCAGGGGAGCAAACGG